rnacentral:ncRNA from 1 species
AUCCGAAUUAUAGGGGUGCCAGAAGAAGAGAGAGAGCAAGAUAUUGAAAACCUAUUUGGUGCUUGGCUGAGGAGCCAAUGGGGCGAAGCUACCAUCUGUGGGAUUAUGACUGAACACCUCUAAGUCAGAAUCCCGCCCAGGAGGAACCAUACGGCAGCGCCGCGGGAGCCUCGGUUGGCCUCGGAUAGCCGGUCCCCCGCUCGUCCCCGGUCCGGUGCGGAGAGCCCUUCGUCCUGGGAGACGGGGUGCGGCCGGAAAGGGGGCCGCCCCCACGCCCUUCACGCAGCGCACGUUUGUGGGGAACCUGGCGCUAAACCAUUCGUAGACGACCUGCUUCUGGGUCGGGGUUUCAUACGUAGCAGAGCAGCUCCCUCGCUGCGAUCUAUUGAAAGUCAGCCCUCGACACAAGGGUUU